rnacentral:lncRNA from 1 species
ACAUUUCACAGUCGCCAUGACGACCGGGAGGUCCGCUCGUCAACGGCUAGUCAACGGCUGCGGGGACAAGUCCGUUGAGGCUGCCAGGCGAGUCAGGCCUUUCUGGACCUCGCCUGACUCGGAUGGGCUGUGCCUGAAAUUGACCCAGCUCCACUAGGGAUUAUGAAGAAACAAGGAGUAAACCCAAAGCCGCUGCAAUCUUCCCGCCCCAGCCCGUCUAAGCGGCCGUACGGGGCCUCCCCCGCCCGGGAGCUGGAGGUGGAAAAGUCGGCCCUAGGCGGCGGGAAACUGCCAGGGGGCGCCAGGAGGUCCUCCCCGGGGAGGAUCCCAAAUCUGAAAAAGCGAAAAGGCUUGGAGCUAAAGGUGGUGGCCAAGACCCUUCUCGACCCCUUCCAGUUCGUCCGUAAUUCCCUGGCGCAGCUCCGGGAAGAGGUGCACGAACUGCAGGCGCGGUGGUUCCCCAGCAGAACCACUCUCAGCAUCGCCAUCUUUGUGGCAAUUCUACAUUGGUUACAUUUAGUAACACUUUUUGAAAAUGAUCGUCAUUUCUCUCACCUCUCAUCUUUGGAAUGGGAGAUGACUUUUCGCACUAAAAUGGGACUUUAUUAUUCCUACUUCAAGACCAUCAUUGAAGCACCUUCAUUUUUGGAAGGACUGUGGAUGAUUAUGAAUGACAGGCUUACUGAAUAUCCUCUUGUAAUUAAUACAGUAAAACGCUUCCAUCUUUAUCCAGAGGUAAUCAUAGCUGCCUGGUAUCGCACAUUCAUAGGAAUAAUGAAUUUAUUUGGACUAGAAACUAAGACCUGCUGGAAUGUCACCAGAAUAGAACCUCUUAAUGAGUUCAAAGCUGUGAAGGAUUGGGAGAUCCUGCUUGCUUUUAUGUUGGUGUAAUCUUUAUUUUAAAUGGACUAAUGAUGGGAUUGUUCUUCAUGUAUGGAGCAUACCUGAGUGGGACUCAACUGGGAGGUCUUAUUACAGUACUGUGCUUCUUUUUCAACCAUGGAGAGGUUUGUUUUCUAGAAAGCAAUUUUUAAGAAAUAGAAGAGGCUGUAGAGGAACAAGGAAAUAUACUCAUCAAAACAAUAUUUAAUUGUAUACUACUUAUGACUUCACAAUAUUUUAAAGACCCUCGUGUUGACCUCAAGCAAUGAUAGAAGGCCCUUCAUUGCACUCUGUCUUUCCAAUGUUGCUUUUAUGCUUCCCUGGCAAUUUGCUCAGUUUAUACUUUUUACACAGAUAGCAUCAUUAUUUCCCAUGUAUGUUGUGGGAUACAUUGAACCAAGCAAAUUUCAGAAGAUCAUUUAUAUGAACAUGAUUUCAGUUACCCUUAGUUUCAUUUUGAUGUUUGGAAAUUCAAUGUACUUAUCUUCUUCUUAUUCUUCAUCUUUGUUAAUGACGUGGGCAAUAAUUCUAAAGAGAAAUGAAAUUCAAAAACUGGGAGUAUCUAAACUCAACUUUUGGCUAAUUCAAGGUAGUGCCUGGUGGUGUGGAACAAUCAUUUUGAAAUUUCUGACAUCUAAAAUCUUAGGCGUUUCAGACCACAUUCGCCUGAGUGAUCUUAUAGCAGCCAGAAUCUUAAGGUAUACAGAUUUUGAUACUUUAAUAUACACCUGUGCUCCCGAAUUUGACUUCAUGGAAAAAGCGGUAUGAAUGUUUCCUUUUUCCUUCUUUACUAAUAUGAGUUUUUGCUCUAGGUUUUUUUAAAAUCUGAAACUCAAAAUUUUUGCACAGAAACAGUCAACUUAUUUUAUUUUUUUUACUGUAACUUUUGCUAAUCUACCUUCCUCACUUGUUUUUUUGUCUGUUAAAAAAAAAAAUAGCCUCUAUCUUAUAGAGUUAUUGAUGAUGGUUAAAUGAGAUAAUCGGAGAAGAGUGUUUAACAUACUAUAUGACCCAUAAUAAUUACUAUUAUUACAAAUCAAUUACUUUUAAUAAUCUAGGCCACUUGGAAAUAUGGGACCAUUCAGGAAAAAGUCUAAAUUCUUGUUUCUGUUUUUAAGAAAUUCAGUUUUAUUACAGUUAACACCCCAAAUAUUAUAACAUUUUUAACAAGAUGUUAUCAAGAAAGGUAUGCUACUGAUGAGUUUUAAUGAACAUAUAAAAAUUCAUUUUAAAUUAUACAAAUGCAAGGUAUUAUUCUUUUUAAAAAGUUAAUGUUAUAAAGCUUUAAAAUAUAGGCUGGGCGUGGUGGUUCAUCCCUGUAAUCCCAGCACUUAGUGAUGCUGAGGCGGGUAGAUCACUUGAGGUCAGGAGUUUGAGACCAGCCUGACCAACAUGGUGGUAACUCCAUCUCUACUAAAAAUACAAAAAUUAACCAGGCAUGUUGGUGCAUGCCUGUAGUCCCAGCCUGAGUAGGAGGCUGAGACAGGAGAAUUGCUUGAACCCUGGAGGCGGAGAUUGCAGUGAGCUGAGAUUGCACCAGUGCACUCCAGCCUGGGUGACAG